UACGUAGGGUGCAAGCGUUGUCCGGAAUUAUUGGGCGUAAAGGGCUCGUAGGCGGUCCAUCACGUCGGGAGUGAAAAGCUGGGGCUUAACCCCAGUCCUGCUUCCGAUACGGGUGGACUAGAGGUAGGCAGGGGAGAACGGAAUUCCUGGUGUAGCGGUGAAAUGACGUAGAUAUCGGGAGGAACACCAGUGGCGAAGGCGACUACCUGGCCUGUUCUUGACGCUGAGGCGCGAAAGCUAGGGUAGCAAACGGG
rnacentral:rRNA from 1 species